CAGGCCAUAUUGUGCUGCCUC
rnacentral:miRNA from 2 species